UACGUAGGGGGCAAGCGUUGUCCGGAUUUAUUGGGCGUAAAGAGCUCGUAGGUGGUUCGGUAAGUCGGAUGUGAAAUCUCCAGGCUCAACGUGGAGGCGCCAUCCGGUACUGCCAUGACUAGAGUCCGGUAGGGGAGUGUGGAAUUCCCGGUGUAGCGGUGAAAUGCGCAGAGAUCGGGAGGAACACCCGUAGCGAAGGCGGCACUCUGGGCCGGUACUGACGCUGAGGAGCGAAAGCGUGGGGAGCGAACAGG
rnacentral:rRNA from 1 species